UAAUUUUUCAAAAAGCCCUCCUUUAGGAUGUCCUUGAACUUUUACUGAACAAAAUCAGGUGAUAAAUUGAAUUCUUCGAGUGAUAUAAUGUUUACAAGCACUUUAUUCUAAAAAAUUGCUAUUAUUUUCGUUGCAGAUUAAAUAUUCUCCAUGUAAUCAUCAUCAAAAUAACCAGACUUUGAAUUUCGAUACUUCUGAAUAGAAAAAGAAAAUAGAAAGAAUUUUACUGUGAAGAGGAAAAACUAUACGGGU